rnacentral:rRNA from 1 species
CCUACGGGAGGCAGCAGUGGGGAAUAUUGGACAAUGGGCGAAAGCCUGAUGCAGCAAAGCCGCGUGAAGGAAGAAGGGUUUCGGCGUGUAAACUUCUAUCAACAGGGACGAAAGAAAUGACGGUACCUGAAUAAGAAGCGUCGGCUAACUACGUGCCAGCAGCCGCGGUAAUACGUAGGGGGCAAGCGUUAUCCGGAAUUAAUGGGUGUAAAGGGUGAGUAGGCGGCAUGGUAUGUCAGAUGUGAAAGUCUUGGGCUUAACCAGAGAAUUGCAUUUGGAACUAUCUAGCUAGAGUACAGGAGAGGAAAGCGGAAUUCCUAGUGUAGCGGUGAAAUGCGUAGAUAUUAGGAAGAACACCAGUGGCGAAGGCGGCUUUCUGGACUGAAACUGACGCUGAGGCACGAAAGCGUGGGGAGCGAACAGGAUUAGAUACCCGGGUAGUC